rnacentral:lncRNA from 1 species
GAGCCACCUUCUGAAACUAGGAAGCAUAAGCUCGAAUGCUGUUACUGAGCUCAGCUUCUGGGUAAGUAUGAAUAAUUACAAACUUGGCUGAUUCUACACAGCACUUGACGACUUGAGAGAUGGAGAGAGAAUCGUUGUUUACAAAUAUGAGUUACGUUGUGUGGUUUCUGUAACAGGCAAAAAAAAUCUUUACUCAAGUAUACAGAGGAGACAGAAGGUACACUUAGAGUUGGUGAAGUGUGUAACCAGCCAUGAAUGCAACGUACCGUUUUGAUACACGUUUGUAAAUAGAAAUCGCUUAGUUAGAUAGUCCGGAGGAAACCAUGGACUACAAUAAGUUAAC